GCCUGCGUGAAGUUGGAAUUGCUAGUAAUCGCGGAUCAGCAUGCCGCGGUGAAUACGUUCCCGGGCCUUGUACACACCGCCCGUCACACCAUGGGAGUCGGAAAUGCCCGAAGUCUGUGACCCAACGAAAGAGGGAGCAGCCGAAGGCAGGUCUGAUAACUGGGGUGAAGUCGUAACAAGGUAAC
rnacentral:rRNA from 1 species